UACAGAGGUGGCAAGCGUUGUUCGGAAUUACUGGGCGUAAAGCGCACGUAGGCGGACUUGUAAGUUGGGGGUGAAAUCCCGGGGCUCAACCCCGGAAUUGCCUUCAAGACUGCAAGUCUGGAGGUCAGGAGAGGCGAGCGGAAUUCCGAGUGUAGAGGUGAAAUUCGUAGAUAUUCGGAGGAACACCAGUGGCGAAGGCGGCUCGCUGGACUGAUACUGACGCUGAGGUGCGAAAGCGUGGGGAGCAAACAGG
rnacentral:rRNA from 1 species